GAGUUUGAUCAUGGCUCAGGAUGAACGCUGGCGGCGUGCUUAACACAUGCAAGUCGAACGAACCUUCGGGUUAGUGGCGGACGGGUGAGUAACGCGUGGGAAUCUGCCCUCAGGAGUGGGGAUAACAGGCUGGAAACGGCCGCUAAUACCCCAUAUGCCGAGAGGUGAAAUGAAUUUCGCCUGAGGAUGAGCCCGCGUCUGAUUAGCUAGUUGGUGAGGUAAGAGCUCACCAAGGCAUCGAUCAGUAGCUGGUCUGAGAGGAUGAUCAGCCACACUGGGACUGAUACACGGCCCAGACUCCUACGGGAGGCAGCAGUGGGGAAUUUUCCGCAAUGGGCGAAAGCCUGACGGAGCAACGCCGCGUGAGGGAUGAAGGCCUCUGGGCUGUAAACCUCUUUUCUCAAGGAAGAAGAUCUGACGGUACUUGAGGAAUAAGCCACGGCUAAUUCCGUGCCAGCAGCCGCGGUAAUACGGGAGUGGCAAGCGUUAUCCGGAAUUAUUGGGCGUAAAGCGUCCGCAGGCGGCCCUUCAAGUCUGCUGUUAAAACGUGGAGCUUAACUCCAUCAUGGCAGUGGAAACUGUUGGGCUUGAGUGUGGUAGGGGCAGAGGGAAUUCCCGGUGUAGCGGUGAAAUGCGUAGAUAUCGGGAAGAACACCAGUGGCGAAGGCGCUCUGCUGGGCCAUAACUGACGCUCAUGGACGAAAGCCAGGGGAGCGAAAGGGAUUAGAUACCCCUGUAGUCCUGGCCGUAAACGAUGAACACUAGGUGUCGGGGGAAUCGACCCCCUCGGUGUCGUAGCCAACGCGUUAAGUGUUCCGCCUGGGGAGUACGCACGCAAGUGUGAAACUCAAAGGAAUUGACGGGGGCCCGCACAAGCGGUGGAGUAUGUGGUUUAAUUCGAUGCAACGCGAAGAACCUUACCAGGGUUUGACAUCCUGCGAAUCUUUUGGAAACGAGAGAGUGCCUUCGGGAACGCAGUGACAGGUGGUGCAUGGCUGUCGUCAGCUCGUGUCGUGAGAUGUUGGGUUAAGUCCCGCAACGAGCGCAACCCACGUCUUUAGUUGCCAGCAUUUAGUUGGGCACUCUAGAGAGACCGCCGGUGAUAAACCGGAGGAAGGUGUGGAUGACGUCAAGUCAUCAUGCCCCUUACAUCCUGGGCUACACACGUACUACAAUGCUACGGACAAAGAGCAGCAAGUUCGCGAGGACAAGCAAAUCUCAUAAACCGUGGCUCAGUUCAGAUCGUAGGCUGCAACUCGCCUACGUGAAGGAGGAAUCGCUAGUAAUCGCAGGUCAGCAUACUGCGGUGAAUACGU
rnacentral:rRNA from 1 species